GGGUUGUGAGGUUAAGCGACUAAGCGUACACGGUGGAUGCCCUGGCAGUCAGAGGCGAUGAAGGACGUGCUAAUCUGCGAUAAGCGUCGGUAAGGUGAUAUGAACCGUUAUAACCGGCGAUUUCCGAAUGGGGAAACCCAGUGUGAUUCGUCACACUAUCAUUAACUGAAUCCAUAGGUUAAUGAGGCGAACCGGGGGAACUGAAACAUCUAAGUACCCCGAGGAAAAGAAAUCAACCGAGAUUCCCCCAGUAGCGGCGAGCGAACGGGGAGGAGCCCAGAGCCUGAAUCAGUGUGUGUGUUAGUGGAAGCGUCUGGAAAGGCGCGCGAUACAGGGUGACAGCCCCGUACACAAAAAUGCACAUACUGUGAGCUCGAUGAGUAGGGCGGGACACGUGGUAUCCUGUCUGAAUAUGGGGGGACCAUCCUCCAAGGCUAAAUACUCCUGACUGACCGAUAGUGAACCAGUACCGUGAGGGAAAGGCGAAAAGAACCCCGGCGAGGGGAGUGAAAAAGAACCUGAAACCGUGUACGUACAAGCAGUGGGAGCCUCUUUUAUGGGGUGACUGCGUACCUUUUGUAUAAUGGGUCAGCGACUUAUAUUCUGUAGCAAGGUUAACCGAAUAGGGGAGCCGAAGGGAAACCGAGUCUUAACUGGGCGUUAAGUUGCAGGGUAUAGACCCGAAACCCGGUGAUCUAGCCAUGGGCAGGUUGAAGGUUGGGUAACACUAACUGGAGGACCGAACCGACUAAUGUUGAAAAAUUAGCGGAUGACUUGUGGCUGGGGGUGAAAGGCCAAUCAAACCGGGAGAUAGCUGGUUCUCCCCGAAAGCUAUUUAGGUAGCGCCUCGUGAAUUCAUCUCCGGGGGUAGAGCACUGUUUCGGCAAGGGGGUCAUCCCGACUUACCAACCCGAUGCAAACUGCGAAUACCGGAGAAUGUUAUCACGGGAGACACACGGCGGGUGCUAACGUCCGUCGUGAAGAGGGAAACAACCCAGACCGCCAGCUAAGGUCCCAAAGUCAUGGUUAAGUGGGAAACGAUGUGGGAAGGCCCAGACAGCCAGGAUGUUGGCUUAGAAGCAGCCAUCAUUUAAAGAAAGCGUAAUAGCUCACUGGUCGAGUCGGCCUGCGCGGAAGAUGUAACGGGGCUAAACCAUGCACCGAAGCUGCGGCAGCGACGCUUAUGUGUUGUUGGGUAGGGGAGCGUUCUGUAAGCCUGUGAAGGUGUACUGUGAGGUAUGCUGGAGGUAUCAGAAGUGCGAAUGCUGACAUAAGUAACGAUAAAGCGGGUGAAAAGCCCGCUCGCCGGAAGACCAAGGGUUCCUGUCCAACGUUAAUCGGGGCAGGGUGAGUCGACCCCUAAGGCGAGGCCGAAAGGCGUAGUCGAUGGGAAACAGGUUAAUAUUCCUGUACUUGGUGUUACUGCGAAGGGGGGACGGAGAAGGCUAUGUUGGCCGGGCGACGGUUGUCCCGGUUUAAGCGUGUAGGCUGGUUUUCCAGGCAAAUCCGGAAAAUCAAGGCUGAGGCGUGAUGACGAGGCACUACGGUGCUGAAGCAACAAAUGCCCUGCUUCCAGGAAAAGCCUCUAAGCAUCAGGUAACAUUAAAUCGUACCCCAAACCGACACAGGUGGUCAGGUAGAGAAUACCAAGGCGCUUGAGAGAACUCGGGUGAAGGAACUAGGCAAAAUGGUGCCGUAACUUCGGGAGAAGGCACGCUGAUAUGUAGGUGAAGCGACUUGCUCGUGGAGCUGAAAUCAGUCGAAGAUACCAGCUGGCUGCAACUGUUUAUUAAAAACACAGCACUGUGCAAACACGAAAGUGGACGUAUACGGUGUGACGCCUGCCCGGUGCCGGAAGGUUAAUUGAUGGGGUUAGCGGUAACGCGAAGCUCUUGAUCGAAGCCCCGGUAAACGGCGGCCGUAACUAUAACGGUCCUAAGGUAGCGAAAUUCCUUGUCGGGUAAGUUCCGACCUGCACGAAUGGCGUAAUGAUGGCCAGGCUGUCUCCACCCGAGACUCAGUGAAAUUGAACUCGCUGUGAAGAUGCAGUGUACCCGCGGCAAGACGGAAAGACCCCGUGAACCUUUACUAUAGCUUGACACUGAACAUUGAGCCUUGAUGUGUAGGAUAGGUGGGAGGCUUUGAAGUGUGGACGCCAGUCUGCAUGGAGCCGGCCUUGAAAUACCACCCUUUAAUGUUUGAUGUUCUAACGUUGGCCCCUGACCGGGGUUGCGGACAGUGUCUGGUGGGUAGUUUGACUGGGGCGGUCUCCUCCUAAAGAGUAACGGAGGAGCACGAAGGUUGGCUAAUCCUGGUCGGACAUCAGGAGGUUAGUGCAAUGGCAUAAGCCAGCUUGACUGCGAGCGUGACGGCGCGAGCAGGUGCGAAAGCAGGUCAUAGUGAUCCGGUGGUUCUGAAUGGAAGGGCCAUCGCUCAACGGAUAAAAGGUACUCCGGGGAUAACAGGCUGAUACCGCCCAAGAGUUCAUAUCGACGGCGGUGUUUGGCACCUCGAUGUCGGCUCAUCACAUCCUGGGGCUGAAGUAGGUCCCAAGGGUAUGGCUGUUCGCCAUUUAAAGUGGUACGCGAGCUGGGUUUAGAACGUCGUGAGACAGUUCGGUCCCUAUCUGCCGUGGGCGCUGGAGAACUGAGGGGGGCUGCUCCUAGUACGAGAGGACCGGAGUGGACGCAUCACUGGUGUUCGGGUUGUCAUGCCAAUGGCACUGCCCGGUAGCUAAAUGCGGAAGAGAUAAGUGCUGAAAGCAUCUAAGCACGAAACUUGCCCCGAGAUGAGUUCUCCCUGACUCCUUGAGAGUCCUGAAGGAACGUUGAAGACGACGACGUUGAUAGGCCGGGUGUGUAAG
rnacentral:rRNA from 1 species